rnacentral:ncRNA from 2 species
AUCAAUUGAGGUUCGAAUGGUUCCAGAAACCCAAGUUGGUUUUCCGGAUCAAAAGGGAAUGCGACGAGAUGGACCCAAUCAGGGCAUCUUUAUCGCAGCCGACCCCGCGACUGUAGAGCGGUUAGGCAAAUGUCACCGGCGCCGGGAGGCCAGAGUGACGGAAAUGCAAUGGUGUUUUUCCGUCAACUUGAAGCUCCGGACCGGACAAGCCACUGACGUGGCGGCAUGAUCAAUCGGCGCGGACGCCUCUUUGUCUACGAAUCGUCCCGUUUUCAUGACCGCCAUCACCGUUGGGAAGGCCGGCAUUUGCUGAUGAUCGACGGCAACGUCGACGCGACCCGCGAGCCAGGAGACCUGCCAUUCGCACCGGUUGAGA